rnacentral:rRNA from 1 species
UCUAGUGGCGGACGGGUGAGUAACGCGUGGGAACCUGCCCAGAGGUACGGAAUAACCAGUGGAAACGCUGGCUAAUACCGCAUACACCGGAGACGGGAAAGAUUUAUCGCCUUUGGAUGGGCCCGCGUUGGAUUAGCUAGUUGGAGAGGUAAUGGCUCCCCAAGGCGACGAUCCAUAGCUGGUUUGAGAAGAUGAUCAGCCACACUGGGACUGAGACACGGCCCAGACUCCUACGGGAGGCAGCAGUGGGGAAUAUUGGACAAUGGGGGCAACCCUGAUCCAGCAAUGCCGCGUGAGUGAAGAAGGCCUUAGGGUUGUAAAGCUCUUUCAGAUGGGAAGAUAAUGACGGUACCAUCAGAAGAAGCCCCGGCUAAUUCCGUGCCAGCAGCCGCGGUAAUACGGAGGGGGCUAGCGUUGUUCGGAAUUACUGGGCGUAAAGCGCGCGUAGGCGGUUUGUCAAGUUGGGGGUGAAGUCCCGGGGCUCAACCCCGGAACUGCCUCCAAAACUGGCUGACUGGAGGCCGAGAGAGGUAAGGGGAAUUCCUAGUGUAGAGGUGAAAUUCGUAGAUAUUAGGAAGAACACCAGUGGCGAAGGCGCCUUACUGGCUCGGACCUGACGCUGAGGCGCGAAAGUGUGGGGAGCAAACAGGAUUAGAUACCCUGGUAGUCCACACCGUAAACGAUGGGUGCCAGUUGUCGGGAGGCAUAGUCUUUCGGUGACGCAGUUAACGCAUUAAGCACCCCGCCUGGGGAGUACGGUCGC